GACGAACGCUGGCGGCGUGCUUAACACAUGCAAGUCGAGCGGUAAGGCCCUUUCGGGGGUACGACGAGCGGCGAACGGGUGAGUAACACGUGGGUGACCUCGCCCUUACGCUCUGGGAUAAGCCCUGGGAAACGUGGGUCUAAUACCGGAUAUGACUCCAUAACGCAUGUUGUGGGGUGGAAAGCCUUGUGCGGCUAGGGAUGGGCCCGCGGCCUAUCAGCUUGUUGGU
rnacentral:rRNA from 1 species